GACGAACGCUGGCGGCGUGCCUAAUACAUGCAAGUUGAGCGCUGAAGGUUGGUACUUGUACCGACUGGAUGAGCAGCGAACGGGUGAGUAACGCGUGGGGAAUCUGCCUUUGAGCGGGGGACAACAUUUGGAAACGAAUGCUAAUACCGCAUAAAAACUUUAAACACAAGUUUUAAGUUUGAAAGAUGCAAUUGCAUCACUCAAAGAUGAUCCCGCGUUGUAUUAGCUAGUUGGUGAGGUAAAGGCUCACCAAGGCGAUGAUACAUAGCCGACCUGAGAGGGUGAUCGGCCACAUUGGGACUGAGACACGGCCCAAACGCCUACGGGAGGCAGCAGUAGGGAAUCUUCGGCAAUGGACGAAAGUCUGACCGAGCAACGCCGCGGGAGUGAAGAAGGUUUUCGGAUCGUAAAACUCUGUUGGUAGAGAAGAAAGUUGGUGAGAGUGGAAAGCUCAUCAAGUGACGGUAACUACCCAGAAAGGGACGGCUAACUACGUG
rnacentral:rRNA from 1 species